rnacentral:rRNA from 1 species
UACAGAGGUCUCAAGCGUUGUUCGGCUUCAUUGGGCGUAAAGGGUGCGUCGGUGGCGCGCUAAGUCAGGUGUGAAAUCUCGGAGCUUAACUCCGAAACUGCAUUUGAUACUGGUGUGCUUGAGGACUGGAGAGGAGACUGGAAUUCACGGUGUAGCAGUGAAAUGCGUAGAUAUCGUGAGGAAGACCAGUGGCGAAGGCGGGUCUCUGGACAGUUCCUGACACUGAGGCACGAAGGCCAGGGGAGCAAACGGG